rnacentral:misc_RNA from 1 species
GAUGAAGAACGCAGCGAAAUGCGAUAAGUAAUGUGAAUUGCAGAAUUCAGUGAAUCAUCGAAUCUUUGAACGCACAUUGCGCCCGUCAGUAUUCUGGCGGGCAUGCCUGUUCGAGCGUCAUUACGCCCCUCAAGUCCCCUGUGGACUUGGUGUUGGGGAUCGGCGAGGCUGGUUUUCCAGCACAGCCGUCCCUUAAAUUAAUUGGCGGUCUCGCCGUGGCCCUCCUCUGCGCAGUAGUAAAACACUCGCAACAGGAGCCCGGCGCGGUCCACUGCCGUAAAACCCCCCAACUUUUUAUAGUUGACCUCGAAUCAGGUAGGACUACCCGCUGAACUUAAGCGUAUCAAUAAGCGGAGGA